rnacentral:rRNA from 1 species
AUUGAACGCUGGCGGCAGGCCUAACACAUGCAAGUCGAACGGUAACAGGAAGCAGCUUGCUGCUUUGCUGACGAGUGGCGGGCGGGUGAGUAAUGUCUGGGAAACUGCCUGAUGGAGGGGGAUAACUACUGGAAACGGUAGCUAAUACCGCAUAACGUCGCAAGACCAAAGAGGGGGACCUUCGGGCCCCUUGCCAUCGGAUGUGCCCAGAUGGGAUUAGCUAGUAGGUGGGGUAACGGCUCACCUAGGCGACGAUCCCUAGCUGGUCUGAGAGGAUGACCAGCCACACUGGAACUGAGACACGGUCCAGACUCCUACGGGAGGCAGCAGUGGGGAAUAUUGCACAAUGGGCGCAAGCCUGAUGCAGCCAUGCCGCGUGUAUGAAGAAGGCCUUCGGGUUGUAAAGUACUUUCAGCGGGGAGGAAGGGAGUAAAGUUAAUACCUUUGCUCAUUGACGUUACCCGCAGAAGAAGCACCGGCUAACUCCGUG